AGAUUUCGCCAAUUGCUUUCCAAUGGAUGACAGAUAAAAACUGAGAUUGGGGUUCCCUGACUUCUGCAACAAUGAAAAGGGAAAAAAACACUGAAUUAAUCUAAAAACAAAACAGGACAUGGACACAGAAUUUACCCAGUGAAAAUAAAUGAGAACCACCUUA